rnacentral:rRNA from 1 species
UACGUAGGUGGCAAGCGUUAUCCGGCAUUAUUGGGCGUAAAGCGCGCGCAGGUGGUUUCUUAAGUCUGAUGUGAAAGCCCACGGCUCAACCGUGGAGGGUCAUUGGAAACUGGGAGACUUGAGUGCAGAAGAGGAAAGUGGAAUUCCAUGUGUAGCGGUGAAAUGCGUAGAGAUAUGGAGGAACACCAGUGGCGAAGGCGACUUUCUGGUCUGUAACUGACACUGAGGCGCGAAAGCGUGGGGAGCAAACGGG